rnacentral:snRNA from 1 species
GGAGGGCGAUCUGGCUGCGACAUCUGUCACCCCAUUGAUCGCCAGGGUUGAUUCGUCUGAUCUGGCUGGCUAGGCGGGUGUCCCCUUCCUCCCUCACCGCUCCAUGUGCGUCCCUCCCGAAGCUGCGCGCUCGGUCGAAGAGGACGACCAUCCCCGAUAGAGAAGGACUGUUCUUCGGUCAAGGGUAUACGAGUAGCUGCGCUCCCCUGCUAAAACCUCCAAACAAGCUCUCAAAGAGAACACAUUUGUGACUAGCCUUCAAAUAUGAUUAAUCUCAAAAUCCCCCGUAGCCAGUCACUUCCCACACCCCACCCCCAAGGGGAACCUUU